rnacentral:rRNA from 1 species
AGUGAACGCUGGCGGUAGGCCUAACACAUGCAAGUCGAACGGCAGCACAGUAAGAGCUUGCUCUUACGGGUGGCGAGUGGCGGACGGGUGGGGAAUACAUCGGAAUCUACUUUUUCGUGGGGGAUAACGUAGGGAAACUUACGCUAAUACCGCAUACGACCUACGGGUGAAAGCAGGGGAUCUUCGGACCUUGCGCGAUUGAAUGAGCCGAUGUCGGAUUAGCUAGUUGGCGGGGUAAAGGCCCACCAAGGCGACGAUCCGUAGCUGGUCUGAGAGGAUGAUCAGCCACACUGGAGCUGAGACACGGUCCAGACUCCUACGGGAGGCAGCAGUGGGGAAUAUUGGACAAUGGGCGCAAGCCUGAUCCAGCCAUACCGCGUGGGUGAAGAAGGCCUUCGGGUUGUAAAGCCCUUUUGUUGGGAAAGAAAAGCAGCAGGUUAAUACCCCGCUGUUCUGACGGUACCCAAAGAAUAAGCACCGGCUAACUUCGUG